rnacentral:rRNA from 1 species
AUUGAACGCUGGCGGCAUGCCUUACACAUGCAAGUCGAACGGUAACAGGCCGCAAGGUGCUGACGAGUGGCGAACGGGUGAGUAAUACAUCGGAACGUGCCCGAGAGUGGGGGAUAACGGAGCGAAAGCUUUGCUAAUACCGCAUACGAUCUACGGAUGAAAGCAGGGGACCGCAAGGCCUUGCGCUCAUGGAGCGGCCGAUGGCAGAUUAGGUAGUUGGUGGGAUAAAGGCUUACCAAGCCGACGAUCUGUAGCUGGUCUGAGAGGACGGACCAGCCACACUGGGACUGAGACACGGCCCAGACUCCUACGGGAGGCAGCAGUGGGGAAUUUUCCACAAUGGGCGAAGCCUGAUGGAGCAAUGCCGCGUGGAGGAGAAGGCCUGUGGGUCGUAAACUCCUUUCUCAGAGAGAAGAUCUGACGGUAUC